rnacentral:rRNA from 1 species
GACGAACGCUGGCGGCGUGCCUAAUACAUGCAAGUCGAACGCCUCUUUCCUCCCGAGUGCUUGCACUCAAUUGGAAAGAGGAGUGGCGGACGGGUGAGUAACACGUGGGUAACCUACCCAUCAGAGGGGGAUAACACUUGGAAACAGGUGCUAAUACCGCAUAACAGUUUAUGCCGCAUGGCAUAAGAGUGAAAGGCGCUUUCGGGUGUCGUUGAUGGAUGGACCCGCGGUGCAUUAGCUAGUUGGUGAGGUAACGGCUCACCAAGGCCACGAUGCAUAGCCGACCUGAGAGGGUGAUCGGCCACACUGGGACUGAGACACGGCCCAGACUCCUACGGGAGGCAGCAGUAGGGAAUCUUCGGCAAAGGACGAAAGUCUGACCGAGCAACGCCGCGUGAGUGAAGAAGGUUUUCGGAUCGUAAAACUCUGUUGUUAGAGAAGAACAAGGACGUUAGUAACUGAACGUCCCCUGACGGUAUCUAACCAGAAAGCCACGGCUAACUACGUG